GUAAGUGUGAGACCUACCAAGGUAUGUACAGAUGGGGGAAUCAUCUCCUGGCCAGGUAACUGUGAGACCUGCCAAGGUAUGUACAGAUGGGGGAAUCAUCUCCUGGCCAGGUAACUGUGAGACCUCCGAAGUUAUGUACAGACGGGGGAAUCAUCUUCUGGCCAGGUAACUGUGAGACCUACCGAGGUAUGUACAGAUGGGGGAAUCAUGUAGUGGCCAGGUAACUGUGAGACCUCCCAAGGUAUGUACAGAUGGGGGAAUCAUCUCCUGGCCAGGUAACUGUGACACCUACCAAAGCAUGUACAGAUGGGGGAAUCAUCUCCUGGCCAGGUAACUGUGAGACCUACCAAGGUUUGUACAGAUGGGGGAAUCAUCUCCUGGCCAGGUAACUGUGAGACCUACCAAGGUAUGUACAGAUGGGGAAUCAUUCCUGGCCAGGUAAGUGUGAGACCUCUCAAGGUUUGUACAGAUCGGAGAAUCAUCUCCUGGCCAGGUAACUGUGAGACCUACCAAGGUAUGUACAGAUGGGGAAUCAUUCCUGGCCAGGUAAGUGUGAGACCUCUCAAGGUUUGUACAGAUGGGGGAAUCAUCUCCUGGCCAGGUUACUGUGAUACCUACCAAGGUAUGUACAGAUGGUGGAAUCAUGUAGUGGCCAGGUAACUGUGAGACCUCCCAAGGUAUGUACAGAUGGGGGAAUCAUCUCCUGGCCAGGUAAGUGUGAGACCUCUCAAGGUUUGUACAGAUGGGGGAAUCAUCUCCUGGCCAGGUAAGUGUGAGACCUACCAAGGUAUGUACAGAUGGGGGAAUCAUCUCCUGGCCAGGUAAGUGUGAGACCUACCAAGGUAUGUACAGACGGGGUAAUCAUCUCCUGGCCAGGUAACUGUGACACCUACCAAAGCAUGUACAGAUGGGGGAAUCAUCUCCUGGCCAGGUAACUGUGAGACCUCCCAAGUUAUGUACAGAUGGGGGAAUCAUCUCCUGGCCAGGUAACUGUGAGACCUCCCAAGUUAUGUACCGAUGGGGGAAUCAUCUCCUGGCCAGGUAACUGUGAGACCUACCAAAGCAUGUACAGAUGGGGGAAUCAUCUCCUGGCCAGGUAACUGUGAGACCUCCAAAGUUAUGUACCGAUGGGGGAAUCAUCUCCUGGCCAGGUAAGUGUGAGACCUACCAAUGUAUGUACAGAUGGGGAAUCAUCUCCUGGCCAGGUAACUGUGAGACCUACCAAGGUAUGUACAGAUGGGGGAAUCAUCUCCUGGCCAGGUUACUGUGAUACCUACCAAGGUAUGUACAGAUGGGGGAAUCAUGUAGUGGCCAGGUAAGUGUGAGACCUCCCAAGGUAUGUACAGAUGGG